rnacentral:rRNA from 1 species
UACGAGGGGGGCAAGCGUUGUUCGGAAUUAUUGGGCGUAAAGGGUGCGUAGGCGGUUUGGUAAGUCUUAUGUGAAAUCUACAGGCUCAACUUGUAGUCUGCAUGAGAAACUGCCGGGCUUGAGUGUGGGAGAGGUGAGUGGAAUUCCUGGUGUAGCGGUGAAAUGCGUAGAUAUCAGGAGGAACACCUGUGGCGAAAGCGGCUCACUGGACCAUAACUGACGCUGAUGCACGAAAAGCUAGGGGGAGCAAACAGG